rnacentral:rRNA from 1 species
UGGGGAAUCUUGCGCAAUGGGCGAAAGCCUGACGCAGCCAUGCCGCGUGAAUGAUGAAGGUCUUAGGAUUGUAAAAUUCUUUCACCGGGGACGAUAAUGACGGUACCCGGAGAAGAAGCCCCGGCUAACUUCGUGCCAGCAGCCGCGGUAAUACGAAGGGGGCUAGCGUUGCUCGGAAUUACUGGGCGUAAAGGGAGCGUAGGCGGAUAGUUCAGUCAGAGGUGAAAGCCCAGGGCUCAACCUUGGAACUGCCUUUGAUACUGGCUAUCUUGAGUUUGGGAGAGGUAUGUGGAACUCCGAGUGUAGAGGUGAAAUUCGUAGAUAUUCGGAAGAACACCAGUGGCGAAGGCGACAUACUGGCCCAAUACUGACGCUGAGGCUCGAAAGCGUGGGGAGCAAACAGGAUUAGAUACCCUGGUAGUCCCUGAGCGGGCUGGCAAGGCGCAU